rnacentral:rRNA from 1 species
UACGAAGGGGGCUAGCGUUGUUCGGAAUUACUGGGCGUAAAGCGCACGUAGGCGGGUGGUUAAGUCAGGGGUGAAAUCCCGGAGCUCAACUCCGGAACUGCCUUUGAUACUGGCCAUCUAGAGAUCGGAAGAGGUGAGUGGAAUUCCCAGUGUAGAGGUGAAAUUCGUAGAUAUUGGGAAGAACACCAGUGGCGAAGGCGGCUCACUGGUCCGAUACUGACGCUCAGGUUCGAAAGCGUGGGGAGCAAACAGG